rfam:Ipomoea nil DNA, scaffold: scaffold2283, cultivar: Tokyo-kokei standard.
GUGGGCGUGCUGGAGUGGUUAUCGGGCAUGACUAGAAAUCAUGUAUUCUUUGCCUGUGUGGGUUUGAAUCCUGCCGCUCACG